AACUCGUCAACUACUCACCACAUGCAUGCUCUGCAGUGCUAGUUAAAAGCUUAUGCUUUUGGUGCUAGAUUCAUUCGCAUGCUGCAAGAGCUCUGACAGGUUGGAGGACGUCUUCUGGAAGUUAUAAUUACUGUGUGAGUCUAUGGAAGAGGGUGAGAACCAUGAGCCACCUAGGUUUUGUUUUGAAGUCAAUGUACCCAGAGAAGGACGGAAGCUCGCUCUCCUCUGGCUACUCCAUGGUGCUACCCUACAGAGUGCUGUUGAGGCAACUGUAGACCUUCAUUGCAAAUAGCGUUUUAAUCAAUUAUUUGGUUUUUAGUUUGAUCUCAAAAGGAUAACCUUUUAAAUGUUUUACUAUUUUUAUUUUUAUGAAAUUCACUGAGGAUGGUCCUCCCCUUCCUCCUCUCAGGAGCCUCCACUGAUAUAGGAGGUUUGGUCUACAUGAAGCAUCAUCUUUACAGAGAAUGAGACAGAGCAACAGAGACAGCAUUCAUCUGAUUUCAUCUCAUCACUAAUGCCCAAAAGGUCACAAGGUACAGGGGAGCUGGAUGGGGUACCUUGCCCGUGUGUCAGACAAGAUGGACUUGCUUCAUUCCUUUCCAUACAUAAAGAAGCUGUCUCAAACUCAACACAUGCCUGCCUGCCUUUGCCGCCUGUGAGCGUCUUUUUACAUGUGCUGGACUACUCUUCACUGCAAAGCGAGCCAGGAAAGACUAGAUUCACUUUGAAAAUCAGCUCCUGCUAAAACAGAACAGAAAGUUCAGAGAGAAGGGAAGGCGUUAGCCCAACAUCAACAUAUAUGAAAAUGGCGAGUUUCUAUGUUUUGUAGUAUAAAAGAUAAAGGUCUCAGUAAAACGGCAAACUAUCAGCCAUCGGUCUGGAUGUCUCCUGUCUCUUAUACACACUGGCUGGCUGGAUGGAUGGAUGAAAAGUCCCUGGCGAUGCUGCCACGGCCACAUGUGCUCCCACCUGAUGGUGCGGAGAACUAGGGAUGUCAAAAUGGAAGGAGAGAGGUGGGGAUGGGAGAGAGAUGGACCAGAGCAGGGAGUGAGAGAGAGGGAGAAGAGAAUAGAGAGUAGGAAG
rnacentral:lncRNA from 1 species